UGAGGAAUAUUGGUCAAUGGGUGCAAGCCUGAACCAGCCACCCCGCGUGAAGGACGACUGCCCUAUGGGUUGUAAACUUCUUUUGUAUAGGGAUAAACCUACCCUCGUGAGGGUAGCUGAAGGUACUAUACGAAUAAGCACCGGCUAACUCCGUGCCAGCAGCCGCGGUAAUACGGAGGGUGCAAGCGUUAUCCGGAUUUAUUGGGUUUAAAGGGUCCGUAGGCGGACUUAUAAGUCAGUGGUGAAAGCCUGUCGCUUAACGAUAGAACUGCCAUUGAUACUGUAAGUCUUGAGUAUAUUUGAGGUAGCUGGAAUAAGUAGUGUAGCGGUGAAAUGCAUAGAUAUUACUUAGAACACCAAUUGCGAAGGCAGGUUACCAAGAUAUAACUGACGCUGAGGGACGAAAGCGUGGGGAGCGAACA
rnacentral:rRNA from 1 species